AUGGAGCAGCAGAUCGAGCAGAUCGCCGGCGGCGAGAAGGCCAACUUUGCAAUGCCGAUGGAGGAGGAGAUCGUGCAGAUCGCCGGCGGCGACCAUGUCAAGAUGGCCAAGUUGAGCGAGAUAUGUUCUUGGUUUGACAACAGACGACAGAUGUCCUGGACGACGCAAACCAUGAUCAAGCAUAUGAAGAAGAGUGAGAAUUUGGCGCUCUGUCCCCCCGCCAGCAGUACCGGUGGAGUUCGUCAAGGUCCUCCUUUGGUCGAUGGAGCAGACGAAUCCCCCCAAGGAGUGGGUCAGGCGAAGGUGGUGGGCGUACAGAUCCAGGGUAGAGCAUCCAUAGGAUCAGGAAGCCACCCUGUAUGA
rnacentral:rRNA from 1 species